CCUACGGGCGGCAGCAGUGGGGAAUAUUGCACAAUGGGCGCAAGCCUGAUGCAGCCAUGCCGCGUGUGUGAAGAAGGCCUUCGGGUUGUAAAGCACUUUCAGCGGGGAGGAAGGCGUUAAGGUUAAUAACCUUGGCGAUUGACGUUACCCGCAGAAGAAGCACCGGCUAACCCCGUGCCAGCAGCCGCGGUAAUACGGAGGGUGCAAGCGUUAAUCGGAAUUACUGGGCGUAAAGCGCACGCAGGCGGUCUGUCAAGUCGGAUGUGAAAUCCCCGGGCUCAACCUGGGAACUGCAUUCGAAACUGGCAGGCUAGAGUCUUGGAGAGGGGGGUAGAAUUCCAGGUGUAGCGGUGAAAUGCGUAGAGAUCUGGGGGAAUACCGGUGGCGAAGGCGGCCCCCUGGACAAAGACUGACGCUCAGGUGCGAAAGCGUGGGGAGCAAACAGGAUUAGAUACCCCUGUAGUC
rnacentral:rRNA from 1 species